UGGCCUAUAUUUAUGGUUGACUAUCUUUA
rnacentral:piRNA from 1 species